UACGUAGGGGGCGAGCGUUGUCCGGAAUUAUUGGGCGUAAAGGGUGUGUAGGCGGCUUUGCAAGUCAGAUGUGAAAUGCCACGGCUUAACCCUGGUACUGCAUUUGAAACUGUGUAGCUUGAGUACAGGAGAGGAAAGUGGAAUUCCCAGUGUAGCGGUGAAAUGCGUAGAUAUUGGGAGGAACACCAGUGGCGAAGGCGACUUUCUGGACUGUAACUGACGCUGAGGCGCGAAAGCGUGGGGAGCAAACAGGG
rnacentral:rRNA from 1 species